rnacentral:lncRNA from 1 species
UCUAUCCAUACUUCAUUUUAAAUGAGGCUAACAAAGAAGAGUAGUGAGAAAUUAUUUUAAAAAUUUGAGUGUGGAGGAGGGCACAUGUGAGUGUACAGAUGCAUUUGUGUGUGUGUAGGGACAGAUGUGAGUGCACAGGUGCAUUUGUGUCUGUGGAGGGGCACAUGUGAGUGCACAAGUGCAUUUGUAUGUAGGGGCACAUGUGAGUGUACAGGUGCAUUUGUGUGUGGGGGCACGUGUGAGUGUACAGGUGCAUUUGUGUGUGUGUAGGGGCACAUGUGAGUGCACAGGUGCAUGUGUGUGUGUAGGGGCACAUGUGAGUGCACAGGUGCAUUUGUGUGUGUGUAGGGGCACACGUGAGUGUACAGGUGCAUUUGUGUGUGUGUGUAGGGGUACAUGUGAGUGCACAGGUGCAUUUGUGGGGGAGCACAUGUGAGUGCACAGGUGCAUGUGUGUGUGUGUGUGUGUGUGUGUGUGUGUAGGGGCACAUGUGAGUGCACAGGUGCAUUUGUGGGGGGGCACAUGUGAGUGCACAGGUGCAUAUGUAUGUAGGGGCACAUGUGAGUGCACAGGUGCAUUUGUGGGGGGACACAUGUGAGUGCACAGGUGCAUGUGUGUAUGUGUGUAGGGGCACAUGUGAGUGUAUAGGUGCAUUUGUGUGUGUGUAGGGGCACAUGUGAGUGCACAGGUGCAUUUGUGGGGUAGCACAUGUGAGUGCACAGGUGCAUUUGUGUGUCUAGGGGCACAUGUGAGUGCACAGGUGCAUUUGUGUGUCUAGGGGCACAUGUGAGUACACAGAUGCAUUUGUGUGUCUAGGGGCACAUUGAGUGUACAGGUACAUGCAGCCAAAUGAGCACAGGAGUCAGAGCAGGAUGUCAGGUACCAUCUUGUGACUACUUAUUCUAUUGAGACAGGCUUUCUCACUGAAGUGGACACUCAUUCUUUGGGCUCCAGUGGGAUGGGGGAUCAUGUGAGCUCCUGGGAUCUGUCUUUCUCAGCUUUUUCAGUGUUGGGAUUAUAUGUCUGGCUUUUUAGGUGGGUGAUGAGGACUAAAUCGUAUGUCCAAGUGUGCACACUCAGCACUUAGCAGCC